rnacentral:lncRNA from 1 species
UUUUAUUUUGAUUUUUUCAUCUAGAUUUUUCUUUUUUCUUCUUUUCUUCUUUUCUUCUUUUUCUCUCAUUUUGAUUUUGACCUUGAUUUUGGUUUUUCUUUUUUCUUCUUUUUGUUUUUUUUUUGAUUUUUUUUGAGCUCAUAGAGUUAGGCAAGUCCUCGUUAUCCCUUUUAAGAAUCUUCUUUAAGAAUCUUCUUUGAUAUCGAACUUCCUUCAUAGAGCCUUUUGGGGUGACACUGUAACUGAAAGCUUUUGAUCUUCCUCUUUUAUCA